rnacentral:rRNA from 1 species
GUGGGGAAUAUUGGACAAUGGGCGCAAGCCUGAUCCAGCCAUGCCGCGUGAGUGAUGAAGGCCUUAGGGUUGUAAAGCUCUUUCAGUGGGGACGAUAAUGACGGUACCCACAGAAGAAGCCCCGGCUAACUUCGUGCCAGCAGCCGCGGUAAUACGAAGGGGGCUAGCGUUGUUCGGAUUUACUGGGCGUAAAGCGCACGUAGGCGGAUCGUUAAGUCGGGGGUGAAAUCCUGGAGCUCAACUCCAGAACUGCCUUCGAUACUGGCGAUCUUGAGUCCGGAAGAGGUGAGUGGAACUCCUAGUGUAGAGGUGGAAUUCGUAGAUAUUAGGAAGAACACCAGUGGCGAAGGCGGCUCACUGGUCCGGUACUGACGCUGAGGUGCGAAAGCGUGGGGAGCAAACAGGAUUAGAUACCCGUGUAGUCC